AAAAAAUAUAGAGGUCUGGUAGAAAAAAGUAAAUAAAUUGGAAUUUUGGCAGCUAAAUAGUUUACUUUAAUAUACAGUCAUUGACAAGGGUUAGUCUAAGUCUGGAAUCGUGAACACAUAAAUUACACGAAGAGAGAAGAGGGAAGGAUGGCACUAAAACAAUAUAAACUAGAACAGGAAAUUACAAGCAUAGAGCAGAUAACAACACACAUGUAUUCCUG